ACAUUUUUAAUUUUAAUGAAGUCCAGCUUAUCAAUUAUUUAUUUGGUGGAUUAUGCCUUUGGUGUUAUAUCUAAAAACUCACUGCCAUUCUCAGGGUCCUCUAGGUUGUCUCCCAUGUUAUCUUCUAGGAGUUUUUAGUUUUGCAUUUUACAUUUAGGUCUAUGAUCCAUUUUGAGUUAAUUUUUGUAAAGGGCAUAAAGUUUGUGUCUAGGUUUCUGUUUUUACAUGUGGAUGUCCAGUUGUUCCAGCACCAUUUGUUGAAACCAACUAUCUUUGCUCCAUUGUAUUGCUUUUGCUCCUUUGUCAAAGAUCAGUUUUUCAUUAGUUUUUGAAUUCAGAGACUAUGUGUAUUUAGACAUUGUUCCUCAAAAUUUUCCACUCAAUUAUCUCUUUUUGCUAAGGGGAGUGAACUAGGUGAUUGGCCUAUUAGCUUACAUAAAUGCAAAAUUUCUUUCAAGUGUCUUAUAUUGCUUUAAAUAUUUUGUAUGAGCCCUUCUGUUAACAUGGCAGAAACUCAGUACAAAUUCACAAAGCCAAGAAGAAUAGUAGAGGGCAUCUAAGAGAUAUCUGUGAAAUUUGUGAUGAUGGAAGGCAUAUGAAUGAUUAGUAACUCAGUAAGUGGAGUGGAGGAAGACUCUAAUGUAUUCAGGGGAGGUUGCUACAGAGGCACACUGGGUCCUAAGCGGAAAGCCUCAGGAAUUGGAGGUACCAGUUACCUCCAAAGGUGAGGGUAUAAAACAGUGUUGAAAGCAUGAGGAUUUGUUCAAAGCUAAUAAGGGUCAUUUAGAUCACCCAGGUAGCCAUGCACCUCAUUCUCCCUCUUCUUGUUUCCUGAAAAAAAUCUGGGUUCACAGAUACCAAAUACAGCUGAACAGGUUGAAGGACUGUAUGAAAAACAUGAGGAUUAAAUGAAAAUCUACAUAAUUAACAAUGGGAACAGUCUCCCUUUCCUUGCUUAAUUGCAAGAAUUCUAGCAGCCAGUCUUGUAAUUCCCGAGUGCAAGGAGGAACUGAUCAAGAGAAAAGACUUGGAUAUUGGCAGGUAGGGGUGUCUUGAAAUACAGUGUCUCUGCAUGACCACGCUAUACUGAGGCCUCUCCAUACCGAGUUUACAGUAAGUUCUCUGUUCCUUACUCUUAAGUAUGAAUGGAUAGUCAAGGAUUACCAGGUAUUGGGCGGAGGGCUUGGGGGGGGGGGGAUGAUUCUGUAGUAUAAAACCCAAUAAUCAAAUCAAAUAAAAAUUAUAAAACAGCUUUGAGUAAAGAGAUGCUGAAGGGGACAGAAUAAAUGUCUAAUAACUUAUCAUUAAUAUUUCAGAUAAAUCAGAGAAGUUUGCAUCAGUAAAGCAAAAAUAGGAUAUAUGCUAUUAAAACAGAGCUAUCAGAGAAAGGACGGAGGUCCUGAAAAUUAAAAUAAGUUUAAAAAAAUAUUAGAAUGGUGGAAGAUAAAUGGAGCCAGCCUUCCAUGAAGUAAAAUUAUAAGAAAAAGAGAUGCACAAAAUGGGAGAGGAAAGAAAAGAAAAUUUGUUCAUUGAUCCAAGAAUUUCAUUCUUUGGUAAGAGUUAUAGAAAAAGAUAGAGGAAAAUGACAGAGAAGAAGUUAAUUUUAUAAAAGAAAAAAUACAAGAAUAUUUGUUGUAUAUGUGGGACAUAUAUAAUAUAUAUGAAACGCCUACAAAGUACCCAGCACAAUGAAUGGAUAAAGACCCAUACCAGGUCAUGUAUCACUGUGAAAUUUCAAAGUACUGAAAUACAAGGAUGACCCCAAAAAUAUCUGGGAAAGGAAGAAAAAAAGGGUAAAUACACACAAAACAUUAGAAAUGAGAAAGUCUUUGAACGUCUCAAUAGCAACACUGGAAGCUAGCAAAGAGUAGAUCAAAUUUUGAGGGAGAAUAAUUUUUAACCUGGAAUUCUUCUGUAACCAGCCAAACUGUCAAUAGUCAAUAAAGAUACCUUUAGAUAGUCAAGUUCUCAGAAAUUUUACCUCAUGGGAAUUCCUUCUCAUUUAGUUUCUGCAGAGUGUGUUUCACUAAAACAGGGAGUACACCAAGAGAGAAGAAAAAGACAAGUACUCAAGUAGGUAGAUAUCUAAUCCGGGAGAGAGGCAAAGGGAAUGGUCCGUUGAUAGUGAUGGGCUGAAAUCCCAGGAUAACUGGUUUGCUCCAGCCCCAGGGAGUAACCACCCCGUGGGUGAGCGAAAAGAUAGAGGGCUUCAGGAAAGUUCUACCCAAGGGGAAAAAUGUAAUGCCUAAUUAAUGUUUGUCCGUGUUUAGAGACAUUUACAACUCUAUUGGAGACUUUGGGGAUGAAUUAGUGAUAAAUACAUAGAAAACAAAACAAAUGCAGAAGUGAAGCAGUAAUUAAUUCAGAGAACAAAUAGUUGUACAAGAAAGAAAAUAAAAUCAUAGUAUAUUACAUAGUUCAGCCAAGAGCAAUUUUAUACAUUCAUAAUUAUGUAAACGUAAAAUGAUGUAUUAAAACGAUAUAACUGUGGUGGAUGAAGGGAAGCAGAGAAAGUGAAGUGGGAGUGAGGAGAGCUGAAAGAGUUAGAGCCACAUCUUGCAUAGUAAGUAGACUGAAGAAAGAGUAAAGGAAAUCAUCGUGAAUGGCUAAAAUUGAUGAGUCAUGAAAAGUAGCUAAAAGCAUUGAAAGGCUGCUUAUGUGGAGCUGAAAUCUGCUGGUGGACAUGGGAUGGGACUUUUUCAUCAUAAAUGUUGUAGAACCCUGACUUUUUAAAUUAUGUACAUGCAUUAUUUUGGUCAAAAAUAGAAUUCAGAAUAUGCCUAUGACUUUGAUAUUCUCUUCCAUAUUAUACCUGUGAUUGUUUUACUGUUAAGAAAAGUUUCCAACUCUCACAAUGCUUGAAUUAAAUGUUCAUUUGAUGGUCCAGGUUGAUUAUGUGGAUUGCUGUGCCCACUUUCUUGGCUCGUAGCCACAUACUUCUACUAGGAUAUAAAACCCACUUCGAAAAAUAUGGAUUUAAUUAUUUCCUCAUUAUAUAAAACUGUGCUGUGAACAUUUAAGAACAUAAAUAAUUUUUGAUAAAGUUAUGGUAGUAACCACUGCUGUAUGAAUGAAAAAUUGUUUUUAAAAAACCCCAACAAUACCCCUUUGGAUAUUCUGUGAUUCAAAAUGCCAAUCCUUAUUUUGAACUUUGUUGUCCAUCCAAGUAGCUGUUUAUCAAGAAUCUACUUAGGUGGGUAGUACAUUAUAUGGUGAAGAGUUUGUUUACUCAAAUGCAGUUUAGAAGUUUUUGUAAAUGUAGAUAUGACUGCUCUAUUGUAGUAUCAUUGUGUGAGGAAGCACUCCCUAAAUCUAAAUACUUAUGUGGGAUCUUAUCUCUUGAAAACAAUUUGAGAAAAGCUGACUGUAUUUAAUAACUUUAAAUUUGUGAAACCAUGGGAUUUCUACCAAGUAAAGGAUUAGGACAUCAUCUUCUGUAAUGGCCUGUUAUGCUUCUGGGCUAGGAGGAAGUACAUGACAACAGAUGGAUUAGAUGACCUAACAGUUAUUUUUCCAUUUAAAAAGAAUUCUUAUUUUCUUUUUAAUAAAUUCAGAAAACAACCACUCCACAUAUGACAUUUUACAACAGGGAUUAGAUCCCUUUCUAGAUUGUGAGAGAAUCAUUGUCUAUAUUCCAGUACCAAUAUAAAAAGGUUUUAUGUUGAUAAUUAAUAAAUAUCGUUGUCAACCUAUGAAAGAGACUUUUCAAAAUAAACUAAUGAAAUUUACCUGAUACACAAGAUAAAUAACAAUAUUUCAUGCAAAGAUGAUAAUUAUGUCAAAUACUGUAAAGUCAUAAUAUUUAGAAACGAAAGAGGAAAGUAAGGGGGAAUAAUUUAUGAGUGGGCAAAGAUGAUUUGAGGCUUGGCUUUUAUGAUUCAUAAUAAAUAUUAAAAAUUUUUCCUCAUAAGACUGUUGCAGGAGAACUGCAAACAAUUUUAAUCAUAGGAGGCAGAAGGGAAUGUUGCCCAUUUUUGCUGAAGCUGUGCUUUUUUCUUUAGUUAUAAAUAGAAAAUAUGAUAAUUACAAAGUACUAAUCUUAUGUGUACAACAUUGAGCAAAAAAUACAAAAUAUUUAUUUUCUAUAAUUGAUAUAUUUAUGUUCAUUCCUUUUAUAGUUCUCAUCUUCCACCACUCACCAAAUUGCUUUACUUCUCCAAGUGACAUGUGCUCCUAUGACACAGAUGUCAGUAACAGCCUAAGCUGGACUGUACCCCAGCCAUACAAACUAAGAGAAGAAAUAUAUUGAAAUUAGGUUCCUAGAACUUGUGAAGUUCUAUGGAAUUUGUGUUAGUACAGAAUUCUGGGAUUAGUAAACAGGUAGAAAGACACGUAUUGGAGGAUUACAUGGAAAAUAGGAAAACAGCGAUCAAUUUUAAGGUAAUAAAAUGUGUUGAAACUUCUCAAAAUUAUUAAAAUUCUUCCAUACUUUCAUUAUUUGAAAAAAGUAAUGAUUACUCAUUUCAGUGCUGCUUAUAUUUCCAAAUCAUAUUUUGAUCUAUUUGCAAGACAGAUAAUUCCCUUUAUUUAGAGAAUUUAUAAUCUAGUGGAACUGUUAGUCGUUUAGCCGGGGUAGUUGGAGAGCGUAAGAUAGUUUGAGGGCCGUGGGAAUGUUUGUCCCAGAGUGCUAGUGCAUGCGACUUAAAAGGCAUCCAUGAAUAUUCAGAGCACUGCCGUGAGACUGAAACAGAUGGACACGCUGAAAGAAAAGAGUAUUUGAAUAUAGGAAAUUCGGUGAAGAUGCAAUUAUAAUUUAGUUAUAGCAUGACCAAGGUAAGUGAGUAUGUAAAAGAUAAAACUUUUUGCUAUUAUGAUAGGUGAAGUAUCAAGGGGCUUCCCAUGACCUUAUUUCACAUGGGUUCUAUCACUUUUUUAUUUUACUGAUGUCUUCCUGUGUGGAAAAUGUGGGAGUUAAUCUGUAGUCAUGAAAACUUGAGGGAAAAAGUAGAAAAUCUCAGAAAAAUUGAGAUUAAAAUAUAUGGUAAUAAAAUCUGUUGGAGCAAUCCAUUGAAACAUUCUUGGUGGCAAAAUUCACAUUUGUGAAAGGCUUCAAACUUAGGCUUUUUGAUGUUAUUUCCAAAUAAGAUUUUACCUACAGUUCCAGAGAAACCCUGAUAGGAUGAAAGAAUAAUUCUCUUAUCUUACUACUUAAAAUUUGAGUCCCAUUAUCAGAUCAGAUUACCUAUAUUGUGCUAUGAAUAUUUUCAGAGCUUCUGUUGAUUAUGAUCAGAAAUGCAUAAAAUUUUAUAUUAGACACAGUUGUAAAUGUAUAGAAUUUUAUGUUAAAUCAAUAAUUUGUUAAAUGUAAACAUUUAGAAGUGUUCCUAAUUUUUAAGACCCUGUUUGGUGUUUCUUCAUUUUUAAUAUGUCGUGAGCUAAAAGAAUUUUUUAAAAAAGGAAGUGGCUCUGAAUCUUAUCUUCCAAAUUUUAUUCUUUUUCUGAAAUUAAAGAACAAAUUCAAGUUGUCAGAUUCUUACUUCUGAGAGCCCUGUAAAGGGUUAACUUUGAUAGCGUAUGCCAUUUGGAUUGUAUCAGUCAGAGAAUAUGAAAUUGUUUGAGGGAACCAAAAGAGGAAAAACUCCAGUAGCCUAUCCAUGUGAUUGUAUAACAGUCAGCUUUCAAAUUCAUGAUCGAAUAUAUUGAGCAUAUUCUCCAACCCUUGGAUGCAUCCAUUAUUAAUUACAAUUAUGUAGGGACAGUGUCUAAUUGGAAGGUAGUCUGUCAGUUCUGCUUCAUUUGCCCGUAUUUUCCUUGAAAUGUUCUAGGUAUUGAUGAGAACAGCCUCUUUGUUCCAAGAUAUCAAAGGUUUUACGAUCCAAAAUGAGAUCAUAUGUAUAUGUAUGCAGAUGUCGCCAGUGUACCAUAUAGGAUGAUUGACAAGCCUUUGUUUGCAUUAUUCUGUGAAGUUCUUUAUUUGUUCUUACUUCAGAAAGUGUUCUGUCAGAAGUCUAAUGAGGUGGCAUUUUCAAGUAGGAAGUCGGUUAUGAUUGUCUUGGAUUAGUGUUCUGCUUUUCUUCUCAGUGUUUUUCCAUGACUUAUCUUUUAGUUGUUUAUAGACUGCUGUCACCUCAGUGUCACAAGAGAUGGUACAGACCUCUUCCUCUAGUUUUUUAAACUUCUCCCACUUAAGAAGGAGACCAAAUUUAAAUUUGAUUACAUCAAAAUAAUUACUUUUUAAAUUUGUCAUGUAAUUUUCUGUAAUUUGUCAUUUUUCAGGCACUUAAUAUAGCACUUAUAUGAGCCAAGACUGUUCUAAGUGCUUUGCAAAUAGAAGCUAAUUUAAUAAGAACUUUAUGAGGUUGAUACUAUUAUCAUCUUCAUUUUAUAGAUGAGGAAACUGAUACUCAGAGAGGACCAUAGCUAGUAAGUGAUCAUAGUGUUCUCAGGUCUUUUUAUUCUUAUGGGGUGAAUAAUCAGACAUUUUUAUGUUAAAAGGGGCCCUUGAUUACAAAUCAUACUUUUUAAUAGAUAAGAGAAUAAAAACAAUACCUAAUUGAAGAAGUCAAGGGAAUCCCUCAAUAUUUAUAAUAUUUAUUAUAAUAUAUAAUAUACAUAAAUAUAUAUUAUUAAUAUUAUUAAUGUUAAUACUUGUUAAUAUACUCAAUUUCGAUUUAUUUUAUUUCAAUUCGAAUCAGUUGUAUUUGGCUAUUUUUUAGACCUCUAUAGAAUUAGGUGCUAACAGAGGACUAGGUUGCUCCAGGUGAUUCGUGAAGUGCUAUUCUUUCCUUCACUCAGCAUGUCUGUUCAUUUGUCUUGUCUAUCAGAAGUAUAAAGACCUUCGAUAAAUAGGCUGCCUUUCCUAUCGUGUCCUUGGAUCUGGACUCAUAAUUUCCUGUGAAUUUGGUAUGUACAGUGAACUUUUGGCUUGCUGAUACCAGCAAUUGUUUGGUACUUUAAUUCUGGCUUAGCAUAUGCCUUUAAAAUCGUAUUCAGUUUUUUUGAGUAGCUAUUGAACUCAAAUGCUUAUAUAAAAUUUAAGUUCAUUUGUUUUCUGCACUGAAGAUGCUAAUUCCCUCUUAUGUUGAGUUAACCUGCUUGCUGUUGUCAUUUUUCACUAAGUAACUAUGAAAUUCCCAAACUUCACUUGGUUAUUCAUUAGUUAAUCCAGGGAAAAAAUGAAAGUAAAAUAAUUUGCCUUUUAUUUCCUCUCUUAUGUUUGGAUUCCUAUGUUAAUGACAAUCAAUUUGUAAUAAUGGCUUAUGGAGUUCACCAAUUUCAGGAAACUCCUGACCACCUCUUCAGCUAUCUUCCUUAUUGAUACAGGAAGAACUGUAUUUGGAAGCUUUUGAUUAGCUCUUGUUAAAUACGUACUAAAGUGUAUUACAGAUUUUACCACUGAGUCAUUUUGUAACUAUCUCCUUUUUGUUUCUAAUACAUGUUUUUUCCAUGUGAGUACAUCUCUAAAGUUACUGAGUUUCCAGAAACACAAAUAAAGAACAGAUGGGUACUCACACCUUACAACGAGUACAAUGGGGACAGAGGACUUUCAUCACAUCCCUGUGUCAGCGUGUUAGCUAUCAUGUGGUGGACAUCUGUGGUUGUUUGAAAUGGUCCCUGCUGCUGUUUUGGACUCUCUCAGAUCUGGUCUUCUUUACAGUAGCUUAUUUUCAAGCAAUUGGGUUUCUCCAUUGUUUAUUUGUCUGAAGAAAGACAGACAAUUCUGAGCUCCAAAUAAUGUGAAAUGUUAAAGAAACUAUUAUCUGAUUAGGUACAUAGAAAUGCUGAGGCAAGAAAAGAGGGGAAAUCUCCAGGGAACAGAAAUGAAAAGAUAACUUGAAGUCAGAGCAUGAGUUAUGCUUCAUUGGCCAGAAGAGUCAUUUGGCUGUAUAUAAGUUCUGUGGGCUUGAGUUUAAUGCCUCUGUUGUGAUAGGGUAUUAGGAACUGGUUAGGGGGAGAGGAGGGAGGGUGGAAGGGAACCCCCCAUGCACAUGUUUGAAUGACGUCAGAAUUUAUACUGUCCCCAUAACACAGGAAUCUCAAGCCAAGAGAUUGUCUGAAACUUUUGCAAAAGCAAAGCCUAUGCUAUUCAGAAGCUAAUGCAAAGCUCAUGCAGAUGGGACUCUUCUAGAAAGAAUACCUCCUUUGAAUAUAAGCGCAGAAUAAAAAAUUCCGGCCACAUGAAUUAUCUAACACGAUACAGUCAACAAUAAAAAGGAGAGUUAUUACCAUACAUCAUGAAGUAAUAUAAAACAUUGAAUGUAAUAUAAAAUAAGUGUAUUUUAAGUGAUUAAGCAGAUUUUAAAGGAAUAGUAAACAUAAUAAAAUAGAGCAAAGGAAAAAUACAUACAUAGAAAAUAGGCAAACAAAAUAAGAUGGUAGAAAUAAAUAAGUAAAUCAAUUAUGUGACUAUAAACUCUCCUGUUAAAAGACGGAUUGUAGAUUCUAUAAAAUACAAAAUCCAACUUAAUGCUGUUUAUAAGAAACACAGCUAAAACAUAAGGAUCAUAAAGGUUGGAAAUAAAGAGAUAAAAGUAAUACACCAGAAAAACAUUAAUGAAAAUAUAACUUGUGAGUCAAUUUUAUUAUCAUACAAAAAAUACAUUUCAAGGCAAUAAGUAUUGCUAAGAAUAGGGAAGACCAAAUGACUAGGAAGAUAUGAGAACCUGUAUUCACCUGACAAUAUAACCUCAGCAUACAUAAAGCAACAAUUGACUCACAAGUUGAAAUUAAAAAAUCCAAAAUCAUGUUGAAAGUUUUUAAAACACCUCUGUCAAACACUAAUAUAUUAAGCAGAUAAGAAAACACACAAAAAAAUAGCAGAUUUGAACAGUAUAUUUUAAAUAAGUUAUUCUAAUGGAUGAAUGAAUGGAUGGAUAGAUCCCUUUAACAAUUACAGAAUGUACUUUUUUCAAGCAUACUAAAACAUGACAAUAUUUAACUAUAUACUAGGUCACAAAGGACUUCUUGACUAGAGAAUCAAGCUACAGUUCAAGUUUUCUGUAAUAACUUAAUCGUAAAAAGAUUGUCUCUCCCACAAAUAUAAAAGCACACACAUAAGAAGAUCUGUGGACCAAAGAGAAAACUUAAAGAAAGAUUGUGAAAUACGUAGACUUGAACACCAGCCAAAACACUGCAUAUCUGAACUUGAAGCCAAAUAAUUUGUAUAGUUUUAAAUGCACAUUUUAGCAAUGAUUGAAGAUUGAUGAGCCACUCUUUCAAUUUGUGUCAUUCAGUCUAAGAAACAGGGUAUACAACAAAGAGAAUCCUCAGGAUGAUGCUGAAGGGAGACCCAGGAUGACUGUGUGAAAUGAGUAAGAGGAACCUCAACUAAAUUGGAAUGGGGGAGUCCUGUAGGGGGGCUCUCACAUCCUAUUGUACAUGGUCAAUUACUCCAAACGGAAACAGACUUAGGUUUGCAUCUCUGGAGGGAAGUGCAAGUACUUUCCUACUGAAGGAAGAUUUCUCUCUGCCUGUCAACUGCAGCCAACUGCAGCUCAGCCAAUGAGAAGCUAUUGCCCCCCGAGUGUUACUUUCCUUCAAUGGACUUUUGUUUAGAACAGCUCUCCCUACUCUCCCGUUUGCUCUAUAAAAGUAAGCCCCUUCCUUUGUCUCUCUGGAUUUGCAUAUGGUCGACCAAAGCAUGGACAUCACAAAUUGCAAUUCAUGAAUAAACUCGUUUUGAGGGUAAAAUAA